GAUGAACGCUGGCGGCGUGCCUAAUACAUGCAAGUCGAGCGAACAGACGAGGAGCUUGCUCCUCUGACGUUAGCGGCGGACGGGUGAGUAACACGUGGAUAACCUACCUAUAAGACUGGGAUAACUUCGGGAAACCGGAGCUAAUACCGGAUAAUAUAUUGAACCGCAUGGUUCAAUAGUGAAAGACGGUUUUGCUGUCACUUAUAGAUGGAUCCGCGCCGCAUUAGCUAGUUGGUAAGGUAACGGCUUACCAAGGCAACGAUGCGUAGCCGACCUGAGUGGGUGGUCGCCCACACGGGAACGGAGACACGGUCCAGACUCCUGCGGGAGGCAGCAGUAGGGAAUCUUCCGCAGUGGGCGAAAGCCUGACGGAGCAACGCCGCGUGAGUGAUGAAGGUCUUCGGAUCGUAAAACUCUGUUAUUAGGGAAGAACAAAUGUGUAAGUAACUAUGCACGUCUUGACGGUACCUAAUCAGAAAGCCACGGCUAACUACGUG
rnacentral:rRNA from 1 species